GUGCUCACUUGGGUGGCACAGUGCUAAAAAUUGGAACCAUUUAGAGAUGAACAUGGCCCCUACACUUGUGUGAUAUGCAAAUUUGGGAAGUGUUUCAUAUUUUC
ensembl:snRNA U6 U6 spliceosomal RNA